GUAUUGUUGUGCCCAUUUUACAGCUAAGGAAACACCAUUAGGGUCUGACCCUGUGAAAAGUUGUGUGCACCUUCUCUUGAAACAUAGGCGCUGAGAGAGGGUUCAGUACAAGUCCUAGGUAUGAGAAGCAAGACACAGGAGGUAACAUCAAAAGAUGACCCACUAGGUACGGUGAAGAAGAGCUCCAGAGAACUAGAAUGUGGUAUCCAAUCAGACAGCAGGUGGUGUUUUUCUGAGCUGCGAUUGAAUUCCACUAGAAGUUCCUCGGAAAUUGACAUAUUAAAUUACUUCAUGCUGAUCAUGUUAUGGCAAUAAAGAUGAAAUGAGUUAAAGACUGAACACUUUUUGUUAUCUAGAAAGGAUUUUCCUUGGAGAUAACUAUCUUGAUGUAAAAAAGUUGCUGCUGCUCCAUGGAGAGGAAAAGACAUGAGGUGGAAUUGAGAUAAAUCAAAGGAUAUGAAAGAAGAAAUUUUUACCCCUUGGAUUCCACAGUCCAAAGUAUUUGCCAAUGUUCCUUCAUGAGGUCUAAAGCUGAUGCAUGUCUGGCAGCUCCCAGCUGUUCUACAGCUCGUCUACCUUUUGGCUUUGGGUAACCGUCAAAUUUCAGUAUUGCAUUGGCCUUUCAAUAGUCGUUGCAGAAAUGUUCCGUGCCAUCAGGCUUUGGCACAAUGAGACUUCUCCCUUUGCUGUGCAAUUCUUCCACCAGUGCCAGCAUCAUCUGUAGUUCAUCCCAAACUGUGUCCCACAUUUUUAGGGGGAGCAGCUGAGGAGUGUCGGGGCUAUCAGGGCUUUAAAGGAGCUAUCCUGAUUUGCUGCUGUUGAGGAUCUGGCUCAGCUUUUCUUUGGAGGAAUGGAUGUAAUUGCUGUAUGAGGAAUAAAUGCAUUACACAGACAUAUUUUUAUAGCUUUGUGACAUGUACUUUUGUAAAUAAAGGGUUGAAAGUGAGUGUGUUAAUCAUUAGAUCUGAAGAUGGUGUAACCAUGAUAAUAUAAAGGUGUAUAUUCUACAUUCUUUCAAGGUACAAACUAGAGAGGAUUGAGCUGUUCAUUGAGAGUAAUUUGUCUGACUAACUUAACCUUUUUCUCCUGUUGGUAAAAUGUCUGUAAAGAGGUUUGGUUUUUUUUUUACAGAUUUUUUUCAUUAAUCAAAAUUGCGUAAUGGGUUUUAUGAACACAUUUGAGCCUUGGAAUGAUAGCUAGUACUCUGUAGUGAGUAUGCCGAUGAUUGGUCAAUGCUGGAAUUCCAGCGUUACCCUCUCUCAAUUUUAUCACUAGCCCCAUAAUAUUUGGUGUGUUUUUCUUGAAGUUACAGCUCCUGGAAUCAUGUAAUUAUGAGGAAAUCUCAGCUUUCAUUUACAAAAAAAUGUUUCUAGCUCUCAUGGUUGAAGCUUGAAAAUGUGAUCCAAAUGCACCCUCAAGGU